rnacentral:rRNA from 1 species
AAAAUCCGCCGGGCUUAGAUGAGGGGUGAUAACGAGUCUGCUUGCAGACGAAGUGAGUGAUACCCAGCUUCCAGGAAAAGCCACUAAGCUUCAGCUACACACGACCGUACCGCAAACCGACACUGGUGCGCGAGAUGAGUAUUCUAAGGCGCUUGAGAGAACUCAGGAGAAGGAACUCGGCAAAUUGAUACCGUAACUUCGGGAGAAGGUAUGCCCCAAGUAGGUGAACUCGAACAGAGGGAGCCCAACGGGGUUGCAAAAAAUCGGUGGCUGCGACUGUUUAAUAAAAACACAGCACUCUGCAAACACGAAAGUGGACGUAUAGGGUGUGACGCCUGCCCGGUGCUGGAAGAUUAAAUGAUGGGGUGCAAGCUCUUGAUUGAAGUCCCAGUAAACGGCGGCCGUAACAAUAACGGUCCUAAGGUAGCGAAAUUCCUUGUCGGGUAAGUUCCGACCUGCACGAAUGGCGUAACGAUGGCCACACUGUCUCCUCCUGAGACUCAGCGAAGUUGAAAUGUUUGUGAUGAUGCAAUCUCCCCGCGGAAAGACGGAAAGACCCCAUGAACCUUUACUGUAGCUUUGUAUUGGACUUUGAACAGAUCUGUGUAGGAUAGGUGGGAGGCUUUGAAGUGAUGUCGCUAGAUGUCAUGGAGCCAACGUUGAAAUACCACCCUGGUGUGUUUGAGGUUCUAACCUAGGUCCAUUAUCUGGAUCGGGGACAGUGCAUGGUAGGCAGUUUGACUGGGGCGGUCUCCUCCCAAAGCGUAACGGAGGAGUUCGAAGGUACGCUAGUUACGGUCGGACAUCGUGACGAUAGUGCAAUGGCAUAAGCGUGCUUAACUGCGAGACUGACAAGUCGAGCAGAUGCGAAAGCAGGACAUAGUGAUCCGGUGGUUCUGUAUGGAAGGGCCAUCGCUCAACGGAUAAAAGGUACUCUGGGGAUAACAGGCUGAUACCGCCCAAGAGUUCAUAUCGACGGCGGUGUUUGGCACCUCGAUGUCGGCUCAUCUCAUCCUGGGGCUGUAGCCGGUCCCAAGGGUAUGGCUGUUCGCCAUUUAAAGAGGUACGUGAGCUGGGUUUAAAACGUCGUGAGACAGUUUGGUCCCUAUCUUCCGUGGGCGCUGCAGAUUUGAGGAAGCCUGCUCCUAGUACGAGAGGACCGGAGUGGACACACCUCUGGUGUAUCGGUUGUCACGCCAGUGGCAUUGCCGAGUAGCUAAGUGUGGAAGAGAUAACCGCUGAAAGCAUCUAAGCGGGAAACUCGUUUCAAGAUGAGAUCUGCCGGGGCCUUGAGCCCCCUGAAGAUUCGUUCAAGACCAGGACGUUGAUAGGUCAGGUGUGGAAGCGAAAAA